GAUGAACGCUGGCGGCGUGCCUAAUACAUGCAAGUCGAGCGAAUGGAUUAAGAGCUUGCUCUUAUGAAGUUAGCGGCGGACGGGUGAGUAACACGUGGGUAACCUGCCCAUAAGACUGGGAUAACUCCGGGAAACCGGGGCUAAUACCGGAUAACAUUUUGAACCGCAUGGUUCGAAAUUGAAAGGCGGCUUCGGCUGUCACUUAUGGAUGGACCCGCGUCGCAUUAGCUAGUUGGUGAGGUAACAGCUCACCAAGGCAACGAUGCGUAGCCGACCUGGGAGGGUGAUAGGCCACACUGGGACUGAGACACGGCCCAGACUCCUACGGGAGGCAGCAGUAGGGAAUCUUCCGCAAUGGACGAAAGUCUGACGGAGCAACGCCGCGUGAGUGAUGAAGGCUUUCGGGUCGUAAAACUCUGUUGUUAGGGAAGAACAAGUGCUAGUUGAAUAAGCUGGCACCUUGACGGUACCUAACCAGAAAGCCACGGCUAACUACGUGCCAGCCGCCGCGGUAA
rnacentral:rRNA from 1 species